AGUGAACGCUGGCGGUAGGCCUAACACAUGCAAGUCGAACGGCAGCACAGUAAGAGCUUGCUCUUACGGGUGGCGAGUGGCGGACGGGUGAGGAAUACAUCGGAAUCUACUUUUUCGUGGGGGAUAACGUAGGGAAACUUACGCUAAUACCGCAUACGACCUACGGGUGAAAGCAGGGGAUCUUCGGACCUUGCGCGUUUGAAUGAGCCGAUGUCGGAUUAGCUAGUUGGCGGGGUAAAGGCCCACCAAGGCGACGAUCCGUAGCUGGUCUGAGAGGAUGAUCAGACACACUGGAACAGAGACACGGAACAGAAUGAUACGGGAGGCAGGAGUGGGGAAUAUUGGACAAUGGGCGAAAGCCUGAUAAAGAAAUAAAGCGUGGGUGAAGAAGGCAUUCGGGUUGUAAAGACCUUUUGUUGGGAAAGAAAAGAAGCAGGUUAAUACACCGAUGUUCUGACGGUACACAAAGAAUAAGCACCGGAAAACUUCG
rnacentral:rRNA from 1 species